rnacentral:rRNA from 1 species
CUGACCUCAAAUCGGGCGGGACUACCCGCUGAA